GAAAACUUGGUCCCAAUUUCUUUUACUUUUUUAUCUAUAAUGAUACAUGCAAAGAUAAUGAUUCUUAACCAGUGAGGCCUAUUUUAAUUAGUUUUAAUUAAUCAACAAAAAACAAAAUGAUAUAAAGAAAAGCUUUUUCUAAAAUCAUAGAUAACCCACAACAGCAGUACUAGAAAUUAAGCAAUUAGUAAAAGCUAGACUUAAUAAUAGAAAAUAAGUAUUGGUAAAAAUACGUGCCAGCCACCGCGGUUAUACGUAAAAUACAAAAAGUAAUAAAAACAUCUUAGUGAUAAAACUAUUUUUAACUAAGUAAAUAAAACCAAAUAAACCAACAGUCAAAUGUAAAAACAAAAAGAAAACCUUGAACACAAAAGUAAUUUACCAAAGAAAAUUCACGUAAAUAUAAAAACAAACCAGGAUUAGAGACCCUGCUAUGUUAUAUCAUAAACAAAAAGAAAGAACUACAAGCAAAAGCUUAAAACUUAAAGGACUUGGCGGUUUUUUAGAUCUUCCUAGAGGAGCCUGCCACACAAUUGUCAACCCGCAAAAAACCUAACCUACUCUAGAACUUAUCAGCCUGUAUAUCAUCAUCGUCAGCUCACCUCUUAACAAAAGAAAGUAAGCAAAAAGGAACUCUCCAAAACGUUAGAUCAAGAUGCAGCCAAUGAGUGGGGGCAUGGUGGGCUACAAUAUUCCAUAACGAAUAACGAAAUUUUUAUUUAAAGGAUAAAAAAAAAGUAGGAUUUAGCAGUAAGAGGAAUAAAGAAAAAUCCCCUGAAAAAGCCCUAAAAUACGUACACACCGCCCGUCACUCUCUUUAACAUAAAAAGAGAAAAGUCGUAACAAGGUAAGAGUAGGGGAACCUGCUCUUGGUAG
rnacentral:ncRNA from 1 species